UGGCGCACGGGUGCGUAACACGUAUGCAACCUACCUAUCAUUGGGGGAUAGCCUUUGGAAACGGAGAUUAAUACCGCAUAAGACAGUAGCAUGGCAUCAUGCAGCUGUUAAAGCUUUGGCGAUGAUAGAUGGGCAUGCGUCCAAUUAGUUAGUUGGUGAGGUAACGGCUCACCAAGACGAUGAUUGGUAGGGGAUCUGAGAGGAUAAUCCCCCACACUGGCACUGAGAUACGGGCCAGACUCCUACGGGAGGCAGCAGUAGGGAAUAUUGGGCAAUGGACGGAAGUCUGACCCAGCCAUGCCGCGUGCAGGAAGAAGGCGUUAUGCGUUGUAAACUGCUUUUUUAUAGGAAGAAGGAGACCUUGCGAGGUUUGGUGACGGUACUAUAAGAAUAAGCACCGGCUAACUCCGUGCCAGCAGCCGCGGUAAUACGGAGGGUGCGAGCGUUGUCCGGAUUUAUUGGGUUUAAAGGGUGCGUAGGCGGUUUAUUAAGUCAGUGGUGAAAGACGGUCGCUCAACGAUUGCAGUGCCAUUGAUACUGGUAGACUUGAGUUCGUAUGAGGUAGCUGGAAUGGAUAGUGUAGCGGUGAAAUGCAUAGAUAUUAUCCAGAACUCCAAUUGCGUAGGCAGGUUACUAAUACGAUACUGACGCUGAUGCACGAAAGUGUGGGGAUCAAACAGGAUUAGAUACCCUGGUAGUCCACACUGUAAACGAUGAUGACUAACUGUUUGCCCUUUGGGGUGAGUGGUACAGAGAAAUCGUUAAGUCAUCCACCUGGGGAGUACGCCGGCAACGGUGAAA
rnacentral:rRNA from 1 species